UACGAAGGGGGCUAGCGUUGUUCGGAAUCACUGGGCGUAAAGCGCGCGCAGGCGGAUUGUUAAGUCAGGGGUGAAAUGCCGAGGCUCAACCUCGGAACUGCCUUUGAUACUGGCAAUCUUGAGUCCGGGAGAGGUGAGUGGAACUCCUAGUGUAGAGGUGAAAUUCGUAGAUAUUAGGAAGAACACCAGUGGCGAAGGCGGCUCACUGGCCCGGAACUGACGCUGAUGUGCGAAAGCGUGGGGAGCAAACAGG
rnacentral:rRNA from 1 species